rnacentral:rRNA from 1 species
UACGGAGGGUGCAAGCGUUAAUCGGAAUUACUGGGCGUAAAGCGCACGCAGGCGGUCUGUCACGUCGGAUGUGAAAUCCCCGGGCUCAACCUGGGAACUGCAUUCGAAACUGGCAGGCUAGAGUCUUGUAGAGGGGGGUAGAAUUCCAGGUGUAGCGGUGAAAUGCGUAGAGAUCUGGAGGAAUACCGGUGGCGAAGGCGGCCCCCUGGACAAAGACUGACGCUCAGGUGUGAAAGCGUGGGGAGCAAACAGG